ensembl:lncRNA
UUUCCUUCCUGCUCAAAGUUCCUUUUUUUUCCUUGGUGUUUGUGGCUGAUGCUGAUCGUCUCCGUGUGAAGCUCCGUGUGAAGGUAACCUUCGCAGUGUGUAAUGUUUCCUGGCUAACAUCAGCUGUGUGCGGCUUAGUUUCAGCACGCACAGCACACAUCUGCCGCUCCAUAGUUCACGGUAACGGACUCACAGCUGGACCAACGAGGCCGACCGUUAAACUGUUGCCUUGCUGAUAGCCUGUAGAAAGUGUGUGUGAGCUGAUGUGAGCAGCAUGGAUCAGUGUGAGGACAGAGAGGAGCGAGUCCCUCCCUCUAAAACCACUCUGUGUGGGGAACAUGAGAGCCAGACCAAAGCUCAGAGGAACCCACCUGGACCUCCAC